AUUGAACGCUGGCGGCAGGCCUAACACAUGCAAGUCGAACGGAGCGGCGGACGGGUAAGUAAUGCCUAUGAAUCUGCCUGUUAGUGGUGGAUGACGUCCGGAAACGGGCGCUAAUACCGCAUACUAUCAGAUUCGCCUAGGUCGUAUGAGCUAGUUGGUGGGGUAAAGGCCUACCAAGGCGACGAUCCGUAACUGGUCUGAGAGGAGGAUCAGUCACACGGGAACUGAGAAACGGGCCAGACGCUUACGGGAGGCAGCAGUGGGGAAUAUUGGACAAUGGGAGAAAGCCUGAUGCAGCCAUGCCGCGUGUGUGAAGAAGGUCUUCGGAUUGUAAAGUACUUUAAGCUGGGAGGCGUUACCAACAGAAUAAGCACCGGCGAACUUCGUGCCAGCAGCCGCGGUAAUAC
rnacentral:rRNA from 1 species